rnacentral:rRNA from 1 species
UACGGGGGGUGCGAGCGUUGUCCGGAAUCACUGGGCGUAAAGGGCGCGUAGGUGGCCUGAUAAGGGUGUGGUGAAAGUCCGGGGCUUAACCCCGGAUCUGCCAUGCCGACUGUUAGGCUAGAGUGCUGUAGGGGCAGGCGGAAUUCCGGGUGUAGCGGUGGAAUGCGUAGAGAUCCGGAGGAAGACCGGUGGCGAAGGCGGCCUGCUGGGCAGAUACUGACACUGAGGCGCGACAGCGUGGGGGAGCAAACAGG